rnacentral:rRNA from 1 species
UAGAGUUUGAUCCUGGCUCAGGACGAACGCUGGCGGCGUGCCUAAUACAUGCAAGUAGAACGCUGAAGAGAGGAGCUUGCUCUUCUUGGAUGAGUUGCGAACGGGUGAGUAACGCGUAGGUAACCUGCCUUGUAGCGGGGGAUAACUAUUGGAAACGAUAGCUAAUACCGCAUAACAAUGGAUGACACAUGUCAUUUAUUUGAAAGGGGCAAUUGCUCCACUACAAGAUGGACCUGCGUUGUAUUAGCUAGUAGGUGAGGUAACGGCUCACCUAGGCGACGAUACAUAGCCGACCUGAGAGGGUGAUCGGCCACACUGGGACUGAGACACGGCCCAGACUCCUACGGGAGGCAGCAGUAGGGAAUCUUCGGCAAUGGGGGCAACCCUGACCGAGCAACGCCGCGUGAGUGAAGAAGGUUUUCGGAUCGUAAAGCUCUGUUGUAAGUCAAGAACGAGUGUGAGAGUGGAAAGUUCAAACUGUGACGGUAGCUUACCAGAAAGGGACGGCUAACUACGUGCCAGCAGCCGCGGUAAUACGUAGGUCCCGAGCGUUGUCCGGAUUUAUUGGGCGUAAAGCGAGCGCAGGCGGUUUGAUAAGUCUGAAGUUAAAGGCUGUGGCUCAACCAUAGUUCGCUUUGGAAACUGUCAAACUUGAGUGCAGAAGGGGAGAGUGGAAUUCCAUGUGUAGCGGUGAAAUGCGUAGAUAUAUGGAGGAACACCGGUGGCGAAAGCGGCUCUCUGGUCUGUAACUGACGCUGAGGCUCGAAAGCGUGGGGAGCGAACAGGAUUAGAUACCCUGGUAGUCCACGCCGUAAACGAUGAGUGCUAGGUGUUGGAUCCUUUCCGGGAUUCAGUGCCGCAGCUAACGCAUUAAGCACUCCGCCUGGGGAGUACGACCGCAAGGUUGAAACUCAAAGGAAUUGACGGGGGCCCGCACAAGCGGUGGAGCAUGUGGUUUAAUUCGAAGCAACGCGAAGAACCUUACCAGGUCUUGACAUCCCGAUGCUAUUUCUAGAGAUAGAAAGUUACUUCGGUACAUCGGUGACAGGUGGUGCAUGGUUGUCGUCAGCUCGUGUCGUGAGAUGUUGGGUUAAGUCCCGCAACGAGCGCAACCCCUAUUGUUAGUUGCCAUCAUUCAGUUGGGCACUCUAGCGAGACUGCCGGUAAUAAACCGGAGGAAGGUGGGGAUGACGUCAAAUCAUCAUGCCCCUUAUGACCUGGGCUACACACGUGCUACAAUGGUUGGUACAACGAGUUGCGAGUCGGUGACGGCAAGCUAAUCUCUUAAAGCCAAUCUCAGUUCGGAUUGUAGGCUGCAACUCGCCUACAUGAAGUCGGAAUCGCUAGUAAUCGCGGAUCAGCACGCCGCGGUGAAUACGUUCCCGGGCCUUGUACACACCGCCCGUCACACCACGAGAGUUUGUAACACCCGAAGUCGGUGAGGUAACCUUUUGGAGCCAGCCGCCUAAGGUGGGAUAGAUGAUUGGGGUGAAGUCGUAACAAGGUAGCCGUA